AGAUCGUAGCUGGGGUGAACUACUUCUUGGACGUGGAGUUGGGCCGAACCACAUGUACCAAGACCCAGCCCAACUUGGACAACUGCCCCUUCCAUGAACAGCCACAUCUGAAGAGGAAAGCAUUCUGCUCUUUCCAGAUCUACACUGUGCCUUGGCAGGGCACAAUGACCUUGUCGAAAUCCACCUGUCAGGAUGCCUAGGAGUCUGUACCAGGCUGGCCUGUGCCUAUCACCUCUUACGCACACCUCCCACCCCCUGUAUUCCCACCCCUGGACUGGUGGCCCCCGUCCUGGGGAAGGUCUCCCCAUGUGCCUGCGCCAGGAGACAGAAAAGGCAGCAGGCGGCCUUUGUUACUCAGCAGGGGGCUCCGCCCUCCCUCCUUCCUUCUUGCUUCUCACAGCCCCGGUGUGCGGUGAUACGCCCCCACCUCCUGCAAUAAAACAGUAGCAUCGGC